UGUUUCAGCACAUCAUUAAUUAAAUUAAUCUGUCAAUCUCACCCAUCAAAGUCAGUGGGCGGAACCACUGACGUAAACGGGCGGGACUAGUGCCAAUCUGGUGUUAUCGACUGCUUUGGUCUGAAGCCUAACACCUCCUACAUGACAUGAAUGGAUCAAGGAGGAAAGCUGCUUCUAUUCGAAAUAUGAUGAAAAAGGCGUUGUGAGUGAUUGGGACUGUAGCACUGUCAACAUUUCAAGUGAAAGGCUUAGAGUUUUAUCUUUAGGAAAAUGUAUUCGUGAAAUUAGCUUCUUGGCCAUGACGUUUUAAAAGGAGUGGAUGCAUGUUGUCGAGAUACGUUGAGGAUGACAGCUGCCUCCAAGUUCUACUUGGCUUCCUCGUUGAGGAUGACAGCUGCCUCCAAGUUCUUCUUGGCUUCCUCGCGGCCUAUCCACUAGGGCUCCGGGAACCAAAUCUCCUUCAUCAUCGUUUGACACACUUUCUCACAGAAAUAAAAAGGGGAUACUGUGACCAAACCGGCCUACUGAUGUCCAUACAGUAGCCCUACACAAGACCAUGUCUGUCACAUUGGUGCCAUGACCGAGUUGGACCUUCGCCCAACCGGGAUCAUUCUGGACAUCAUCUGCGUUGUGAUAAUCAUCAAAGCCUGACUGCCCACAACACCUGGAUCAGAGAGCCAGUCCAAUGAAAUCUGUCAAGAAAACCGCAGAUAAACAAGGCCUGUAUCAUCAUUGUAGUCUAGUACUACACUUUUAUUAUACACGAAGACAGAACAUGACAUGCUUGUAUCAUUGCAAAAAAAAACAAAAAAAAACUAACUAUACAAUCAGUCAUGCACUC